UACAGAGGUGGCAAGCGUUGUUCGGAAUUACUGGGCGUAAAGGGCGCGUAGGCGGUCUUGUAAGUCUUGUGUGAAAUCCCUCGGCUUAACUGAGGAACUGCACGGGAUACUGCGAGACUUGAGAUCGGGAGAGGGAAGCGGAAUUCCGGGUGUAGCGGUGAAAUGCGUAGAUAUCCGGAGGAACACCGGUGGCGAAGGCGGCAUCCUGGACCGGCAUUGACGCUGAGGCGCGAAAGCCAGGGGAGCAAACGGG
rnacentral:rRNA from 1 species